AUUGAACGCUGGCGGCAGGCCUAACACAUGCAAGUCGAGCGGAUGCAGGGAGCUUGCUCCUGGAUUCAGCGGCGGACGGGUGAGUAAUGCCUAGGAAUCUGCCUGGUUGUGGGGGAUAACGUCCGGAAACGGGCGCUAAUACCGCAUACGUCCUGAGGGAGAAAGUGGGGGAUCUUCGGACCUCACGCUAUCAGAUGAGCCUAGGUCGGAUUAGCUAGUUGGUGGGGUAAAGGCCUACCAAGGCGACGAUCCGUAACUGGUCUGAGAGGAUGAUCAGUCACACUGGAACUGAGACACGGUCCAGACUCCUACGGGAGGCAGCAGUGGGGAAUAUUGGACAAUGGGCGAAAGCCUGAUCCAGCCAUGCCGCGUGUGUGAAGAAGGUCUUCGGAUUGUAAAGCACUUUAAGUGGGGAGGAAGGGCAGUAAGUUAAUACCUUGCUGUUUUGACGUUACCAACAGAAUAAGCACCGGCUAACUUCGUG
rnacentral:rRNA from 1 species